rnacentral:rRNA from 1 species
GGGGAUAACAGGCUUAUCCUUCCCAAGAGUCCACAUCGACGGAAGGGUUUGGCACCUCGAUGUCGGCUCGUCGCAUCCUGGGGCUGGAGCAGGUCCCAAGGGUUGGGCUGUUCGCCCAUUAAAGCGGUACGCGAGCUGGGUUCAGAACGUCGUGAGACAGUUCGGUCCCUAUCCACCAUGGGCGCUGGAGCUUUGAGAGGAGUCGUCUCUAGUACGAGAGGACCGAGACGAACAGACCUCUGGUGUAUCAGUCGUCGUGCCAACGGCGCUGCUGAUUAGCCACGUCUGGAUGGGAUAACCGCUGAAAGCAUCUAAGCGGGAAGCCCACCUCGAGAUGAGAGCUCCCAUCCCCUCGAGGGAGUAAGGGCGGUCGGAGACUACGACCUUGAUAGGCGGCCGGUGUAAUCGCAGCAAUGCGUUCAGCUGAGCCGUACUAAUUGCCCGAGGUCUUGAUUUG